rnacentral:rRNA from 1 species
CCUACGGGAGGCAGCAGUGAGGAAUAUUGGUCAAUGGACGAGAGUCUGAACCAGCCAAGUAGCGUGAAGGAAGACGGCCCUAUGAGUUGUAAACUUCUUUUGUAAGGGAGUAAAAGCAGGCACGUGUGUCUUUUUGAAUGUAUUUUAUGAAUAAAGAUCGGCUAACUCCGUGCCAGCAGCCGCGGUAAUACGGAGGAUCCGAGCGUUAUCCGGAUUUAUUGGGUUUAAAGGGAGCGUAGUUGGGUUGUGAAGUUAGAUGUGAAAGUUUGCGGCUCAACUUUAGAAUUGCAUUUGAUACUGGGCGUCUAGAGUGUAGUUGAGGUAGGCGGAAUGUGUGGUGUAGCGGUGAAAUGCUUAGAUAUCAUGAAGAACACCGAUUGCGAAGGCAGCUUACUAAGCUGUGACUGACGUUGAGGCACGAAAGCGUGGGGAGCAAACAGGAUUAGAUACCCCGGUAGUC